GCACACGAGCCUGGUUGUCGGAAUGUUGAAGAAAAUAUGCACAAUCCGAGCACAUUCCGAGCACGGUCAACGUGUUAGGAAUAUCUAUUACAAAUUGCGAGCAUAUUCCGAGCACCGCUAGAAUGUGCUAGGAGACACCCGAGCACCUACUACGUGCUCGGAAUCAGCGUCACAACGUUUAUAUGAGGUAUGCUUCCACCAACGUUUUACGAGCACAAAUUGAAUGUGCUCGGAAAAAUUUCCUAGCACAAAUUGACCGUGCUCGGAUAAAAUCCUAGCACAUUGACUGUCCUAGCACUUGCAAGGUGCUCGGAAAAACAAGGAUAUUAUUUCCAAACCAGAUCUGGAUCUCACUUCUAUCAUUUUACUUCUUCCAUUUUCUCUCCAACUCGAUUUCUUCGAAUCUUUUCCUACAUAUUUUCAAUCUUACUCUGUUAUUUUUUUGAAUCAAAGUAGUCUCUUUGCUCGUUGCCAGCUCGCCUCGUUAUCUUUUUGUUAUCUAAAGACAACAAAGAGCUAGGCCUGUAAUUAUUAAUCCUGGACUAUAUCACUCAAAGAAAUCUUGUGUUUUAAGGGCCAAAGAGAAAAAAAUCCUUGCCUGCUUCUUUCAAAUUAUUAACUGGUAUUCACAAUCAUAGAAUACAACGAUGUCGAGGGCCAUGGGUUGAUUGGGGUCCGAGAAGAGGGUGGAGACAUGACAAGGAGCCAAGCCGAAUGUGGAGGUCUGAUUCAAACUGGAAUUUCCCUAUGAAGAUAAAGUCCAAAUGCUCUCCUCAGACAUUCUAACAUGCUCGGAAUAUGCUCGCAAUUUGCAAUAGAUAUUCCUAGUACGUUGACCGUGCUUGGAUUGUGCAUAUUUUCUUCAACAUUCUCGUGUGCUCAGAAAGUGCUAGGAAAAUUCCGACCACAUAUUGGUGCUCGGAAAUAUGUUCUAGGUGAACACCCUUUUUUUUUUGUAGUGUAGCCUCACUCGGAUUGAGGGGGCAUGUUAGAGAACCUUGCGAAGAUCAAAACAAAGAUCAAGCUAAGGUUGCAUGGAAUGUUGGGCUGCAUGAAGUGGACGUUGUUGGUAAUCACGUGGAGUCAUUUUGAGCACGAGUGACGAGAUAUAUCCCAAGACUGGAUGUACGCAAGCUCACUUUAAUGAGAAGUUUGUUACCGAAUCAACAACUAAGGCACAAGACCACAAAGGUACAUGGAGAGACGUAACACUGAAAGGAAUGGUGAAGAAGAUCGAUUCAUGAUUCUGUUUUGACUAAUUCUGUAAGCAAGAGAUUAUCGAGUUGUACAUAGAUUAGGAAUGACUUCUAGAUCCUUCGUAGCUAUGCUAUAAAUUUGUAAUGUAACAAUUAAACAAUCAUUUCCACAUCCCUUGCUAUUUCUAGUAGUAUAUUGAAUGUUUGCUUCCUUCUU